GUCAGGAUGGCCGAGUGGUCUAAGGCGCUGCGUUCAGGUCGCAGUCUACUACUGUAGGCGUGGGUUCAAAUCCCACUUCUGACA
rnacentral:tRNA from 1 species